GACGAACGCUGGCGGCGUGCUUAACACAUGCAAGUCGAACGGUAAGGCCCCUUCGGGGGUACACGAGUGGCGAACGGGUGAGUAACACGUGAAUAACCUACCUCAAAGACUGGGAUAACCAUUGGAAACAGUGACUAAUACCGGAUAAAACCCAGUAGCACAUGCUACAAGGUUAAAAGCUGCGUUUGCAGCGCUUUAAGAUGGAUUCGCGGUGCAUUAGUUAGUUGGUGAGGUAAAGGCUCACCAAGACAAUGAUGCAUAGCCGAGUUGAGAGACUGACCGGCCACAUUGGGACUGAGACACGACCCAAACUCCUACGGGAGGCUGCAGUAGGGAAUCUUCCACAAUGGGCGCAAGCCUGAUGGAGCAACGCCGCGUGUGUGAUGAAGGCUUUCGGGUCGUAAAGCACUGUUGUAUGGGAAGAACGGGUUUAAGAGGAAAUGCUUAAGCAGUGACGGUACCAUACCAGAAAGGGACGGCUAAAUACGUGCCAGCCGCCGCAGUAACAC
rnacentral:rRNA from 1 species